rnacentral:rRNA from 1 species
CUACGUGCCAGCAGCCGCGGUAAUACGUAGGUGGCAAGCGUUGUCCGGAAUUAUUGGGCGUAAAGCGCGCGCAGGCGGAUUGGUCAGUCUGUCUUAAAAGUUCGGGGCUUAACCCCGUGAUGGGAUGGAAACUGCCAAUCUAGAGUAUCGGAGAGGAAAGUGGAAUUCCUAGUGUAGCGGUGAAAUGCGUAGAUAUUAGGAAGAACACCAGUGGCGAAGGCGACUUUCUGGACGAAAACUGACGCUGAGGCGCGAAAGCCAGGGGAGCGAACGGGAUUAGAUACCCCGGUAGUCCUGGCCGUAAACGAUGGGUACUAGAUGUAGGAGGUAUCGACCCCUUCUGUGCCGGAGUUAACGCAAUAAGUACCCCGCCUGGGGAGUACGACCGCAAGGUUGAAACUCAAAGGAAUUGACGGGGGCCCGCACAAGCGGUGGAGUAUGUGGUUUAAUUCGACGCAACGCGAAGAACCUUACCAGGUCUUGACAU